rnacentral:rRNA from 1 species
UACGAAGGGGGCUAGCGUUGCUCGGAAUUACUGGGCGUAAAGGGCGCGUAGGCGGCACUGUUAGUCAGGCGUGAAAGUCCUGGGCUCAACCUGGGAACUGCGCUUGAUACGGCAGAGCUAGAGGAUGGAAGAGGCUCGCGGAAUUCCCAGUGUAGAGGUGAAAUUCGUAGAUAUUGGGAAGAACACCGGUGGCGAAGGCGGCGAGCUGGUCCAUUACUGACGCUGAGGUGCGAAAGCGUGGGGAGCAAACAGG